UACGGGGGGGGUAAGCGUUGUUCGGAAUUACUGGGCGUAAAGGGUGCGUAGGCGGCGCGGUAAGUCGGGUGUGAAAUCUCGGAGCUUAACUCCGAAACUGCAUUCGAUACUGCCGUGCUUGAGGACUGGAGAGGAGACUGGAAUUUACGGUGUAGCGGUGAAAUGCGUAGAUAUCGUAAGGAAGACCAGUGGCGAAGGCGGGUCUCUGGACAGUUCCUGACGCUGAGGCACGAAGGUCAGGGGAGCAAACGGG
rnacentral:rRNA from 1 species